rnacentral:rRNA from 1 species
AGUCAAGUAAUUAAGUGCAUGUGGUGGAUGCCUUGGCAGUCAGAGGCGAUGAAAGACGUGAUAGCCUGCGAAAAGCUCCGGGGAGGCGGCAAAUAUC